rnacentral:rRNA from 1 species
CAGCAGCCACGGUAAUACAGAGGGUGCGAGCGUUAAUCGGAUUUACUGGGCGUAAAGCGUGCGUAGGCGGCUUUUUAAGUCGGAUGUGAAAUCCCUGAGCUUAACUUAGGAAUUGCAUUCGAUACUGGGAAGCUAGAGUAUGGGAGAGGAUGGUAGAAUUCCAGGUGUAGCGGUGAAAUGCGUAGAGAUCUGGAGGAAUACCGAUGGCGAAGGCAGCCAUCUGGCCUAAUACUGACGCUGAGGUACGAAAGCAUGGGGAGCAAACAGGAUUAGAUACCCCAGUAGUCCCUGUCUCUUAUAU